GCACUAAGCAAGGCUAAUACAUAAAUGUAUAUGUGUUAACAUGAUUAGUUUUCACUUAUAAGUAAUAACGUUUAUAGCGACGAGAUAAAUAGCAACGAUUGUAUUGUGUGACGGUAUGUCCGUCUUGAUGGCACGUUGACAUUGUGUUUAUCAUAAUAGAAGAUACAGAACUCUAAAUCUAUAUAUUUUACCAUCAGCUGAUCGUCAUUUGAAACUUGUGGUGUGUGGCGAUUUAUCAAAAUCGUGAAAUCUCAUACAUCAUCUUUAUGGGGAUCUCUUUGAAACGCAGCAAUAGCCGAAGACGAAGUCUUCGACGUACAGAAAGCAAGGAGAGGCAAGCAAGGAACCGCGAAGCUAGACUGAAUGCCGCCAAUAUGCGAAAUACUGACGUAUCGUACGAAGAAAGAGGUCGCCUUAGUGAAAUAGGAUCUGCCCUAAGAGCUAUGGGUGACAAUUUAAACAACAGUCGCUCAAGUGGACUUGAUGAAGCAUCUGGAAACUAGAAGCGUACUUUUGUUAUAAAAUCUCACUUUUAUUAUUUUGUUUCAUCUAUUUGUGUCGUGAUUUGUUGUUGUCCUUUCAGUUUAUUGGAAAGCUUUAGUUAUUUUCACAUUUUCGCUUCAAAAAUAAUAUAACAUAUACUAUAUUCUAAUCAUGUCAUGGAUAGCUUUACAAUAGAACAAUUUUAUGGAUUGAUUGUCUUCAAGUGACGUUCAAUGAGUGAGUUUGUCGGGCUGGUCCGGAAUUCAUUUCUCUUUAAAGUGCGUGAAACUGCACACGCGAUGAAGACAUGACCAAAAUAUUUCUUAAGCAUUGCUCCUAUUCGCGAUAAAAAGUGUCAGAAGAGUAAUAUUGUGUUUUCGUAAAAUAUGUUAUCGUUGAUUACAUAUUUUAACUAUAUUACCUCAAGUAGCAAGCUUUUAUUCGCCGUGCGUGGGCUGGGCCCCACCUAGAACAUUUAGUGAAUGCUUUAAAAAAUGUAAUGUCGUUGUUUAAUCAAUGAUCGUUGAUUAUAGUUUGGUUUAACUAAAUAAAAAACAAGACAACA